rfam:Coniophora puteana RWD-64-598 SS2 unplaced genomic scaffold CONPTscaffold_1, whole genome shotgun sequence.
GCCCGCCUAGCUCAAUCGGCCAGAGCGUCAGACUUUUACGAUCGUGUUGUACAAUCGCUAUCUGAAGGCUGCGAGUUCGACCCUCGCGGUGGGCU